rnacentral:rRNA from 1 species
AGUGAACGCUGGCGGUAGGCCUAACACAUGCAAGUCGAACGGCAGCACAGUAAGAGCUUGCUCUUACGGGUGGCGAGUGGCGGACGGGUGAGGAAUACAUCGGAAUCUACUUUUUCGUGGGGGAUAACGUAGGGAAACUUACUCUAAUACCGCAUACGACCUACGGGUGAAAGCAGGGGAUCUUCGGACCUUGCGCGGUUGAAUGAGCCGAUGUCGGAUUAGCUAGUUGGCGGGGUAAAGGCCCACCAAGGCGACGAUCCGUAGCUGGUCUGAGAGGAUGAUAAGCCACACUGGAACUGAGACACGGUCAAGACUCCUACGGGAGGAAGCAGUGGGGAAUAUUGGACAAUGGGCGCAAGCCUGAUCCAGCCAUACCGCGUGGGUGAAGAAGGCCUUCGGGUUGUAAAGCCCUUUUGUUGGGAAAGAAAAGCAGCAGGUUAAUACCCCGCUGUUCUGACGGUACCCAAAGAAUAAGCACCGGCUAACUUCGUG